AGUGGACGCUGGCGGCAGGCCUAACACAUGCAAGUCGAACGGCAGCACAGGAGAGCUUGCUCUCUGGGUGGCGAGUGGCGGACGGGUGAGGAAUACAUCGGAAUCUGCCUAUUUGUGGGGGAUAACCUCGGGAAACCGGGACUAAUACCGCAUACGACCUACGGGUGAAAGCAGGGGACCUUCGGGCCUUGCGCAGAUAGAUGAGCCGAUGUCGGAUUAGCUAGUUGGAGGGGUAAUGGCCCACCAAGGCGACGAUCCGUAGCUGGUCUGAGAGGAUGAUCAGCCACACUGGGACUGAGACACGGCCCAGACUCCUACGGGAGGCAGCAGUGGGGAAUAUUGGACAAUGGGCGAAAGCCUGAUCCAGCCAUGCCGCGUGAGUGAAGAAGGCCCUCGGGUUGUAAAGCUCUUUUGUUGGGAAAGAAAAGCAAUCGGUUAAUACCCGGUUGUUCUGACGGUACCCAAAGAAUAAGCACCGGCUAACUUCGUGCCAGCAGCCGCCGUAAUAC
rnacentral:rRNA from 1 species